rnacentral:rRNA from 1 species
CAGUCGCCACGGGAAUACAGAGGGUGCAAGCGUUAAUCGGAAUUACUGGGCGUAAAGCGCGCGUAGGUGGUUUGUUAAGUUGGAUGUGAAAUCCCCGGGCUCAACCUGGGAACUGCAUCCAAAACUGGCAAGCUAGAGUAUGGUAGAGGGUGGUGGAAUUUCCUGUGUAGCGGUGAAAUGCGUAGAUAUAGGAAGGAACACCAGUGGCGAAGGCGACCACCUGGACUGAUACUGACACUGAGGUGCGAAAGCGUGGGGAGCAAACAGGAUUAGAUACCCGUGUAGUCCCUGUCUCUUAUAC